ACAAUGAUCUUCAUCUGUUGCUUCUCUUCUCAAUGUUAUUUUUGCUGUAGUUCGUGCACCAGUUAGUAACCCUUAACAAUUAAUCGUUGAAAAUGACUAGACAGGGCCUCCUAGUUCUUUUGUAUUUUUAGCAAGUAUAAAAUGCUCUGCUUUUUGCUUGCAUAGACACAUGCAUACAACCAUAGUCGCUUGUGUUUGUGUGCACACACAUUAGCAUUGUGACUGAAGCAUCCAAAUCCCGCUUUCUG
rnacentral:misc_RNA from 1 species